UACGGAGGGGACUAGCGUUGUUCGGAAUUACUGGGCGUAAAGCGCACGUAGGCGGAUUUGUAAGUCAGGGGUGAAAUCCCGGGGCUCAACCCCGGAACUGCCUUUGAUACUGCGAAUCUCGAGUCCGGAAGAGGUGAGUGGAAUUCCUAGUGUAGAGGUGAAAUUCGCAGAUAUCAGGAGGAACACCGGUGGCGAAGGCGGGUCUCUGGGCCGUAACUGACGCUGAGGAGCGAAAGCGUGGGGAGCGAACAGG
rnacentral:rRNA from 1 species